UACGGAGGAUGCAAGCGUUAUCCGGAAUUACUGGGCGUAAAGCGUACGCAGGCGGCUGUGUAAGACAGGUGUGAAAUCCCCGGGCCUAACCUGGGAACUGCAUUUGUGACUGCAUAGCUAGAGUCUGUCAGAGGGGGGUGGAAUUCCACGUGUAGCAGUGAAAUGCGUAGAGAUGUGGAGGAACACCGAUGGCGAAGGCAGCCCCCUGGGAUAAGACUGACGCUCAUGUACGAAAGCGUGGGGAGCAAACAGG
rnacentral:rRNA from 1 species